UACGGAGGAUGCGAGCGUUAUCCGGAUUUAUUGGGUUUAAAGGGUGCGUAGGCGGAUUGAUAAGUCAGUGGUAAAAUUCUACAGCUUAACUGUAGACUUGCCGUUGAUACUGUUAGUCUUGAGUUUGGUUAAGGUAGGCGGAAUGUGUAAUGUAGCGGUGAAAUGCUUAGAUAUUACACAGAACACCAAUUGCGUAGGCAGCUUACUGAGCCGACACUGACGCUGAGGCACGAAAGCGUGGGGAUCAAACAGGAUUAGAUACCCCCGUA
rnacentral:rRNA from 1 species